rnacentral:snRNA from 1 species
AGCUUUGCUCAGUAUUAUAGCCAAUGAGGUUUAUCCGAGGCAGGAUUA